rnacentral:sRNA from 1 species
UACCAGUGACCAAGAUUAGCUAUAUUUUUCAUUCGCUUUUGUUUCAUAAAAUUCUUUGACAAGGAGAAUUGCACUAUCUAUCGAUAUUAAAAAUGAACUACGGUAAUCUAGCUCAACGUUAAAGCAGUUAAAUUAAAUGCCUGAAAUUAUGUUUUGCAUAAAAAAUGCACUAAAACCGGCAAUAUUAAGUUUGAUGUUGGCAUUUUUUGAUUAAGAGCGUGUGUCGGACGAUAGAAAUCUCCUAUGGUGAGCUGUAAAAAUGACGCAGGGGCGGUUCUUUACACUGUAAAUAAGAUGUGCGCGCUACAUAAUAAUACAGGAAAAAGGCUAAAAAUAAUGAUUAUUUGCAUAAUGAAUUUUCCAUUACUGCUAGCAGUUAUAUUGCAAAUGCGAACGUUACAAUAUGGAGAUAUUGUAGGUCUUGCUUUGGAAAAGAGGAAAACACAGCGAGAAGUUUUGUACAUGGAGCCUUCUUCACGAACCAUUACUUCAAUAAACUACACCAUUUCAAUAAACAACAUACACAGAACUGUCCAUUAUUAUAAAAUAACAAAAUUUUAAAAUCCCGUUGUCAUUGAUAAUAAACAAUAAUUUUACUUAUUUUAUGCCAAAUAAGUCGUUUAAAUUUAGUGACGUCUGCCCACAAUGUAGGCGGCUAAGUUAUGCCGC